AGUAGGGAGUCGGAUGGCAUUUACGCUGUCAACCCGGUCAGGUUCGAGAGAAAGCAGCCGUAGCAGUUGUAGGUGGGUGUCCGACUCCCAGAAGGC
rfam:Desulfovibrio sp. JC271 contig9, whole genome shotgun sequence.